rnacentral:tRNA from 1 species
AGGCCUAUAGCUCAGUGGAUAGAGUAAUAGAUUCCGAUUCUAGAUGUCGAGGGUUCAAAUCCCUCUAGGCCUA